AGGGGGUCUCCUCAGUCUCGGAUUGGUCGGCGGGGAGUUAGGAAGUUAAUUAGAAGUGAGCAAAUGAUGGUACACGAGAUGUUCCAGGUUGUAAAUUAUGGUAGCCCAGAUCAGAGAUUGCUUUCUCUGAAACAGAUUGAAUUCCAACCUUGGAAUAACCCCACAUACAAGGUUGAUGACAAGAUAGAGUUGCUCUGUCAGGAUAGUGGCAUCAGAGGUUGCUGGUUCAGGUGCACAGUUGUGCAGGUAGCCCGGAAACAGUUGAAAGUUCAAUAUGAUGAUGUUCAGGAUGAAGAUGGAAGUGGAAAUCUUCAGGUAUAAUUAAUCUCUUGAGGUCUUCUAACUUCAUUUUUUUAUAUUAGUACUUGGUGCUAUGUUUAAAUAUGUACAUAAUUAGUGGGUGUUUCUGUUAUGGUUUUGUCAUGACCACAAGUUAUUUGAAGUGAUAAAAUGUUAAUUAUUUCUUGUAUUUUGAGUUUAAAGAAAAUUUCAUAAGGUGAUGGAAUAAUGGGUUUCUGUAAAUUAGAUGCCAUCUAGUUUAGGCUUAAUAUGGAAUAUAGACAUGCUGGACUAAUCAUGGAUCUAAUACUCAACUCAAAUAAAUUAUUCUCAGUUUUAAGGAUCUACUGCUUAAAAUUUCUCUUUUCUUCAAAACUAAAUGGACUCUCAUCAGAGUAACUGUUCUGGAGUUAAUUUUGAAACAAUUUGCUUGAUCUCUUCUCCUAAGUAAUGCUCUCUACGAAUACAGGAGGUUAUUUAGAUGCACAUUUUACAUGGAAAUUUGAUUUUUCUUAGCUCAGUGCAAGAAAUUCAUUUUUUUUUUUUAAUUUUAAGACUAGAGAGUAAUGGGAUGACCAAUGAUAGUGAGAAUGUGGACAGGGACAGACCGAAGUACAAUGAAAAUGGGGCAAUUGCCCCCCCCCCCCCCUUCUCCCCAAAAGAGAAAAAAAUUCUUCAUUAGUCAAAAAAUACCUACUCGAAGUAGCCAUUGUUGAUUUUACGUUAUGUGUUAAACUUUCACCCCCUGGAAUGCAAAGUCAAAAAAUAUGAUAUGGUUUAUGGAUGCCAAACAAUUUAUGUGGGAAAAUAAAGUUAUGGCACCUAAGAUAAAACAAAAUAUUCCGAAGAAUAGAUUUUAUAGAUUCCCUUAAUGAAUUUAUACUAUUUACACCCCACUCACUCUUGAAUUAAAAACUUCUAUCUUGAUCCUCUCAAUCUUUUAGGAGUGGAUCCCUGCUUUCAAGUUGGCCAAGCCUGAUAAACUUGGGAUGAGACAUUCUGACCGGCCCACCAUCAGGCCAGCUCCAACUCAUGAGGAACAAGAACUGGCUGUCGAGGUCGGAGCUGCAGUUGAUGCAUGGUGGAGUGAUGGCUGGUGGGAGGGGGUUGUAAUUAGAAUUGACGACUCUAGUGGUGAUAGUGUUCAAGUCUACUUUUCAGGUAUGCUGUUUUAAUGUUAUUUUCUAGCUUCUAUAAAUUAUUCACACUUCACCAUUUUGUGAUACAAGUAAUUUUGGUGGUACCAGGUGAAUGCUUGCUUAUGAAAAUGCACAAGAAGGACUUGCGAAUAUCUAGAGAUUGGUUAGGAGACAAGUGGAUUGAUAUUAAGGCAAAGCCUGAUAUAACCUCAACUAUAUUUACAGCUGAUAGUUUUAACUCAAAGCAUCCCUUGUCACAGUCUAUGGUUAAGGAUGGGGACUCUGUUGGUGUCGCUAAUUCAUGUCAAGACGUUCUUUCUAGUAAGAAGUCUAACGAACCUGAUAUUGCUGAAGAGAAACUUGUGUGUUGUGAUGGCUUUGCUGAAGAUGGGGAUUGUGUCGGUGAUAAUAAUAGAGAAAAAAAUGCACAAGUUGAUAAUGUUGAGACGCGUAGCAGUUGUGAUAAUGAAGAUAAUGGUGAUGAUAAUGGCAAGGGUGUCAAUGAUGAUGGUCGUAGUAAUGAGAACAUUAGUGAUGAUAAUAAGGAUAUGGAGGUGAGUGGUACUUCUGAACCAACUGUAGAACAUCAUGCAUAAACAUAUGAUAUGAUGGUGCUGGUUGUAGAGUUUUGCCAUCAUCUCUUUGCUUUGUUGUGAUCUUUGUCUGAUGUUUAGUGUGAUAGAAUGUAAAUAGUAGUUACACAGGAAUGUUGGGAAGCUGAUUGAUUUUUUAACUUUAGUCUCCUUCAUAGAUGUACAGUGUUAAGUGUAAUGUCCAAGGUUGUGUUAUCAUCCUUUCCAUUGGUUGUAUUAGGAAGAUUUCUUUAUAUUACUAUUGAGUAAUAUUGAGUAAUUCCACUCGUUAUAUGACUAGUAUCAUUUAUGAGCAAGCAUAUUUAAAGUUCAUAAAAGCACUAUUUUUUUCUGGUUUGUGUAACUCACAGGGUAGCCAAAUGCUGCAAUGAAUGACGAUCAUUUUUUUUUCAAAGGACAAAUCUCUCAUAUCUUAAUUGUUUUUUAAUAACAUAGAGAGAGAUCUAUUUGAUUAAUAUAAGUUUAUUAUCAAGAGAAAUAAUAUAAAUAUUAUCUUGACAUGAGAUGAAAUCAUGCUAUCAUUAAGAAUUUAUUCGUCCAACACAUUGAGGAGAGGAUACGGAGAAAAAAAAAUAAAAAAGAAGGAAUAACUUCAAGAAGAUUGUGUGCUCUAAUUGUUAGUGGAUCUUUAAGAGAUAUGGUUAAUUAUAUCGAUAAUUUGCUUGAAUUCUUAUUAAUUUUUUGUAUUUAGAAACUAAUUAUUAAUUUAAUUUUAGAGGAAGAAUACAAAUACUCGUAGUUUGAAUGUAUAGGGAUUUGAAAUAGUUUGGUGCAAUCUUUUCUGGAAUCGAAAUAAUACUAUUUUUUCCUGUCAAAAAAAAAGAAAUAAUACUAUUUUUUGUGCAAAAGAUUGAAAAUAUCUCUGAAACAACUUUUGAAUUUAAAUUUUUAUAAAUAAAAAAUAUUUUCAAAAAAAAAAUCAUAUAUCGAACAGGAUUUCUUAUAAUGUUUUCUAAAAUUCAAAAUUGUUUAAAAAUCCAGAAAUCAAACAACCUCCAAAUCAAUCUAAUCCUUCUUUGAAAAAAGAAAAUAUCUAAUCCUUUUUUUGUUUUGUUUUUUAUUUUUUUGGUGAAUCUUUUUUGUUUUGGUUGCACUUGGAAAAGAAAUGUAAUCUUUUUUUUUUUUUUGAAAUAGAAAUGUAAUCUAAAUCUAAAGCAAAAUAUACAUCGUAAAAAUGAACACUAUAAUAAUCUAAUCUAAAUCUUUUUUUACAUAAUCUAAUCUAAAUCUAAAUAUAAAUUCAUAACAAAUCUCAAACUUCCCUAUAAAUAACAUUACAUUGCAUUUUUUUAGUUUUUCUAAAACUUACUAAGACCUCAAAUCCCCUCUAUUGCUUAAUGGCUUCUUUUCAAAAAAAAUCCCUGUUUUUCCACUCCCUGUCCUUCAUCUUCAUUGUCCCUUCCAUUGCACAAACCUGCAAUUCAUACACUUUCCCCAACCACAUCACCUAUGCCGCAUGCAACAAUCUACCAACCUUAGAAUCAUCACUUCAUUGGAACUACCACCCAUCCACACGCACAGUUGAUGUAGCAUUCAAGAAAUCGAAUGCAGGAGACUCUAGUUGGAUCGCUUGGGCCAUCAACCCUACUUCAAAGGGUAUGGUGGGUUCACAAGCAUUCGUUGCGUUUCGAAAAUCUGAUGGAAGUUUCAGGGCCUACACUUCACCCAUUACCAGUUACGCGACUCUAUUGCAAGAGGGUCAACUCAGCUUCCCUGUUCACAGUGUUUCAGGAACUUAUGCGAAUGGAAGCAUGCUCAUCUUUGCCAGUCUGCGACUUCCAGAGAACACAACCGUGGUGAAUCAUGUUUGGCAAGAAGGGUUGGUGUCUGAUGAUGGGACUCUGAAAGCUCAUGCUAUGGCAGGAUCUAAUCUUCAGUCUUUUGGAACCUUGGAUUUUGUUUCCGGGAAAGUUGAAGAAACUGGAUCAAAAGUGAACUCUAAAAGAACCACACUCAGAAAUGUAAGAACGAAUUCCUCUGUUUUACUCGUAGUUCUUUAUUUUUUAUUUGUUACAUGAUUUACAAAAACCAAUUCGUUUUCUCUUUACUUUUACGUUAAAAAUUUGUAAACACCUUUUCAUUAUUUUUAACUUUUUGUAAGAAUAUAUUUUGAUACUAACCAAUUUUUGUUUACAAAAAAGACGUUUAAUUUCGUUCUUAAAAAAAUGGAUGAAUUUAUCUAGAUUCUCAUUAUUAGUUGAAACUUUGAAUUUACUUUGCAUGAUAACUAACAUUUUGUUGUCAUAACAGGCACAUGGAAUUUUGAAUGUCAUAAGCUGGGGAAUACUAAUGCCAAUUGGGGUAAUCUUUGCUAUCUGCUUGAAGGCAUUUGAUGGUGUAGGACCUACAUGGUUUCAUUUGCAUCGAGCAUGUCAAUCUCUAGCAUUCUUGAUGGGCAUUGCUGGCUUUGGCACUGGUUUGUUCAUGGGAAAUCACUAUGGAGUUCAUCAUGGUCCUCAUAGAUGCAUUGGAAUCACUCUAGUUGUUCUAGCAUCGGCUCAAGUUUGUGUUGCUAUAUUCUUCAGGCCUAAGAAUGAUCACAGGAACAGAAUAUUUUGGAACAUUUUUCACUACGCAAUUGGCUAUUCAACAAUUGUCUUAUCGAUUUUGAAUAUCUUCAAAGGCUUUGACAUUCUCCAUGCCCAUAUGAUGUGGAAGAAAAUCUAUCUUGGGAUAAUCAUAUCCCUGGCCGUGAUUGCUCUGAUGUUGCAGAUUUGGUGGUGCAAGAAGAGGUUCAACUCUAAGGAAAGUGAUGACACCAACCAAGAGAUUCCCUUAGUUUAGUGUCUGGAUGAUCUUAGUCCCCAUAGUUUUUUUCCCUGAAUGUGAAUUUCUUAAUUUUGUAAUAGUAUUCGCAUGUUAAAGUGUUUCAAUCUGAAUUCCUUAAUAUUGAAUCUUAAUCUAUCAUCGACUCGAGUUCCAGACAGUAUGAGAAUGGACAUUCAUGUUUCUACCCACGUCAGUAUAAAAAUUGGUACAAAUACUUUUUAAAAACGCUGGUAUAAAAAUGGUUACUAUCGUACCCUACUUAUUCUCAUCCCCUAAAAAGAGGUGAGAAAAAAUAUCAACUUAAUAAAAAAAAUGGUAAUAUGUGAUGAAACAAAUAUAUGUUUUCUCCAUACACUGACUCACAUAAAGUUGAGACCUUAUUAAGGUUUAUCAAUCAUCUGCUACUUGAAGCAAUCACUUAUACUCUUAUACUUACGGUUGGAGUGUACUUUUAUUAAAUUGAAUAUUGAAUAUAUAAAGUAGUUAAAUCAUUGCCAUUUUUUAUACAUUUAAAAAUAAAAACAGAAGAAAAAAGAAGGCUAUUUUGUUCGUAGUACUCAAUGAUCCGACCCGAACCACGAAUGAUUCUCGGUUCAAGUUUGUUUGUUUUUUUUUUUGGAUAAGCCACUGGAUAACCCCCAACUCAGAUCUCGCUCGCACUCGUCUCUCAUAAUUCUCUUCUCAUAAUGGCGGUCUCUUCUUUCUCUGCAGCAAUUGUGCCUUCUCUUUCCCUCUCCAAUUCUUCACCCAAGCCAAAGUUCCCAUCUCUAUCUUUUCUCUCUGGUAACACCUUGAGGCUCACAACCCUAAAACCUCUACACUCAUCAACUGUGCUAAAAGCUGCUCCAGAAGUGUUGGAUUCCACAGAAACCCUUGAAGAUGACUCUGAAUCAAGCACCUUUCAGGUUUCUGCAUUUUUUUUAUACUGUUUUGGAUAAAUUAGUAUAGCUGUUGAUGAGAUAUCUUGGUGUUGUAGGUUGGUGACUUGGGGACUCCUAGCACUUCGUCUAUUAGCAUUGGGGGUGAUGCAGAUGCGGUAUGUUUUCAAUUGCUGGUUGAUAUUUGUUUCAUUUUGGGGUUUCAAUUUAUCUUUGAGUGACAUAGGCUCAUAUUCCAAACGUUAUCCACUAAAAGUCAUUGAAUGAAUUUUAAAUAGGAGAUGGUUGGACAUUUUAAUUUGUAAAUUGUGCUCGGUAAGUAAGAUAAAUUGGGCCUGUGGACUUACCGGAGAACAUUUUUCUUGUUCUGGACAAUAGAUUACACAUGAAAAAUAACUAUUCUCCAGUAUCCACAACAUUUGGGCCAGUGGACUUAGCGUGAACUAUCAUUUUGUAGGAACACAUAAAAAGGCAUGACAUAAUGAAUUACUUUAUGAAGUUAUGAUGGCAUUAUGGUAUUAUUGGAUUUUACCUUCUCCUUUGUGAUAUGUGACAUUUAAGUAUUAUGUGAUUUUGAAAUUUUUGAGUAUUUUCUCAAUGUUGUAGUUGUUGAAUAAUGUAUAUUUUAGUGUGUUGAAUAUCGAUGUGUUCUAAAUCAUGCAAUAUGAUAUACAAUCCACCUCUCAGAAAGUUUAACAAAUUAUCCUUGAUACAAUUGAUGAUAUGAUUAUGAGUAUAAAACCAGUUAACUUUCCAUGAUGCUUGAAGAUUAUAGAUGUGUACUUCUCUUGUGAAUCCUGAUAAUGAGUAGAAUGGUUGUCGGUGUUCAAUUUUUUUAAUCUGCAUUCAUGAAACAGGGGCUAAGGCCCCCAUAGUCUUGGGAAUGUUUCCUUCCUUAUGAGUGUGGUUAAACAUGAUCUCCCAUGUAUGGUUUUCAGAUACCACAAGUUUGUUGUAGUUUCUUUUGCCGUACAGGUAAAGUUGUUGAGAAAAGUAAUAGCAGCAUGAGGAUCCAUUUGAUCAAUUAUCUCUUUUGAUUUUAAGCAUUGUUUUGCCUUGUUAUAAUUAACAAUUCAUGAACUGCUAUUGUUUUCUAUGUAUGCUCAUUAAAUCAAAUUAUCUGAUAAUUUUGCUUGUUCCCCCAUGCAUAGAUGGCACCGAAGCAGAAAAUCAGAAUCAAGCUUAGAUCUUACUGGGUGCCUUUGAUAGAGGAUUCCUGCAAACAGAUAUUGGAUGCAGCAAGGAAUACCAAUGCAAAAACAAUGGGUCCUGUGCCAUUACCAACAAAGAAACGGAUUUACUGUGUUCUGAAAUCCCCUCACGUUCACAAGGAUGCUCGGUUCCAUUUCGAGAUCAGAACUCAUCAGCGCCUCAUUGAUAUUCUAUAUCCUACAGCUCAAACUAUAGAUUCCUUGAUGCAACUUGAUCUUCCUGCUGGUGUUGAUGUGGAGGUCAAGCUCUAGAGAUACUGCUUUUCAGGUUGCUAAAAAACCAUCUUGAAUCUGAGUGAUAGAUAUCCUGUUAGUGCAUAGAUAUUUGUAUAACAUUUACAAUGUGUUGUAAUUCUGAGACGACAGAUCACCAUUUUGUUUUCUGGUUAAUUAUGCAUAUGUAUGAAUUAUUUUGAUUGAUAUGCAAAGCUGUGUAGGGUGUUAUUCUGUUGAGCUUUUACUUAAUAGAGGGACUGAAUGGUUUAUUUGUCAGGCUUUCCUUUACAAUUUGGCCUUGAUAAAUUAUUGUUGAUUUUUCUUGGUUGGUACUUUCAUAUCUUAUAUCUCUAGAAAUAAAGUGGGAAGAGUGAGUCAAAAGAAUAAAGUUAUAAUUCUUACUUGAAACAGAAACACAAAGACUCUUUUCAGCAAACUAGGUUGUUCAUUAGUUCUAGAAAUACUUAAUUUCUAGUAAGAAAGUACUGCUAUCAAUCCUAUCAUCAUCCUGUACCUGACACCAAACAAGAAAAUAUUAUUUCAUCCCUGUUCUGUAAAUCCAUUCAGCACCCUCAGAUUGUUUUAUCAAAGUAUCAACAGUUGCUUACUUUGACUUCAAUACAAGAUCAGUUUUUUUUGAAAUGCAAUACAAGAUCAGUUACUACUUUUAUAAUGGAAGAUUACAAUGAAGAAGUUCAAAAUCAGAAAGAAAAGCACAUUCAUACAAAGACUGAGCAAUGACAAUCUUAAAAAUAUUGGCACUGUAAUAGGUAUAUCGUGGUAGUGAAUGAAAGUUUCCUAGUAAGUUUUCAAAUUAAUUAGGGCCUGUAUUUUUUGCACGCAAAUUUUGUUGUGUUGGAUUAUUGGUUUGUUGGAGAUUUGGAGAGUUGAAGUAUUUUUUUAACUUUGAAAUGAUGGAUGCUAAUGUAAUUGGAUGAUGGAAAAUUGUGUGUUAGUUUGCUAGUUGCUAACUGACCGAUACUUUUGUGAGGGACGGCCGCAUGGAUGAUCCAUCAGAUAAAAGAGAGAAGGAUGAAAAGAGAGUGUUAAAGUGAUCGUUACUAUCACUCCUUGUUGCACUGAGUAGUUUGCUCUUGGAAUGUCAAAUGGAUUAAGUAUAAUGAUAUGUUCUACUAUGAGUAUGAGUAUUGAGAUGACAUUUUUUUUUGGUAAGUGUUUGUUUCACGGAUUGGAAAAUGAUACCCGGAAAUCUUGUUCCCGGGAAUGUUAUGAUGGAAAUGUUAUUCCCAGACAUCUUUAAAAAAUUCAUUUGGUUCACAAAAUCAGUUUCUGGGAAUCUUUUUUAAUAUUCCUGGGUAUAAUUAUAAUAUAUGUUUGGUUCAAAAUGUAUAUUCCUGGGAAUAGAUAGUAAAAUUCUUAAAAUACCCUUCGCGGUAAAAGACAUGGGUAGUGGGUAGUUGGAAGUGGGUAGUGGGUAGUGGCAAUUCAGAGAUUUCACAGCAAAAAUCUCAUUCCCGGAUUCAACUUACCCACCUCUCCAUCAUGGGAAUGAGAAAUGCUUCUGGAUGGGCAUAUGACUUACCCAGGAAUGAAAGAUACCCGGGAAUAUUUUUUUCAAACCUGCUACCAAACACUGGAAUGUAGAUUCCGGCCCAAACAUUCCCGGGAAUCCUUUUCCAAUGCGUGAAACAAACGCCCACCUUUUUUUCUUGGUCUUAUUUUUGUUUCCUUAUUUUUCAAAAAAAUUAACUUUUGAUUUUCACUUUUUUUUUUGACGGGAACUAGAUAUGUUAUUUGGUCCUCAAUGAUUUUUCUUAAAUUCAGUAACCAAAAAAAAAUUCAGCCCUUCAAUUUUAAAAUUAUUAUACUUAAGAUCAUCUAUCACAUUUAAUCUGGUUGAAACACACAAACUUACAUUUUUGAAUUGAAAUAUUUAUAAAUUAAAUUAAUUAAGUAAUCUUUCACUGAAAAUCACCGUUUAAAUUCACCCGAAAUAAAAAUCCAAAAAAAAUCACUAUUUAAAUACUAAUUUCAUGUCAUAUAAGACCUUUCAAAAUUCAAAGCUUAUAGAAAAAUCACUAAUUUUUAAGUCUUAAAAUUAUUUAAUAUAUCUCAAAAUCAUCAUAAAACCUAAAUAUUUGAAUAGAAAAUUGAUAAAUAGAUCAAAUGACAUAGUUUUGAAGUAGAGACUAAAAGGACUACCUUGGUCAAGACAAAAAAAAAAGAACUCAAGUAAGUAACAAAAAUUAGGAGAUCAAAUUUACACUUAAUCCAAACUAAAAAAAUAAUGAUUAUACAUUCACAAUGUAAAUAAGUUCUGAAACAUGGUCUGCAAUUGGUGUGGGAGAGAGGAUACAAGAAGGUUAUUUGUAAUGUGGAUUGCGAGGGUCUUCUACAAGCCUUGGAAGAUGAAGAAAGCAAACUUUUCCUCCCAGCUCUGAAUGAUAUUCGAGAACUGCUGGGGCGAAGUUGGUCUGUGGCGUUGAGCAACAUUGGUAGAGUAGAGAUUGUAACGAACUGGCGGAUUUGUUGGCUAAGAGAGGGGCUUCUUCUCCGAAUAAUGCCUGAUGUAUGUUGCAGGACCCUCAUGGGAUUUAGAGAUCCUCAUUCUUAAGGAUCGUUAAGCUAGCUUGUAGUUUUCGUUGUCUUUUAAUUUUUCGAUGUAUAAAAAAAUGUAAAUGUAAAUAAAUUCUACAUAAAUAUCAAAUUAAGUUUGACAAUUUUAUCGUGAUUAAAUUAAAAUUAUAAGACUAUAUAGAUGGCCAAAGCUAAAAAAUGUUGGUACAUGGUUUGCUACAGCCUACAAUACAUGGCUCACACUCGUCUCUUCCAACACCACCAUUCUCUUCCACUGUGAGUAUCAUUCAUUCAUUCAUUCUCUGUAUCUCUAUGCAUGUCUCUGUGUGUGUGUUCAAUCUAAUGGCGGUUUCUCUCUCUCUUCUGUUUCGAUGAUUAUGUGUUUGAGUGCUCACACUUCACUCUCUCUUAUUAAGAUCCAAAAGUGCUUUAAUCGAUUGAAACUAAGUAUCGCAUCUCAUGUGUUUGCUUAACCUAGAAGAACCAGCUUCAACUGCUUAGUGUGCUCUUCAUUUCGGUAGAUUUGUGUUGUUUUCUUCAGAGUGAAUUGCUGCGUGUGUGUGUGUGUGUGUUUUUGACACCAAAUCUAUGUCCUGGACAGUCACACGGUCGCGUGCUUUUAACUUUUUAUUGAAUGUGAAAUUUCCUAGACUUGAUUUACGCCUUUGAUAAAAUUUACUAUUUAUAAAAUGUUAUCAAAUGGUGUUGUUGUAAGCAUACUGAGACUUGUACUUGUUAUUGUGGGAUGUGAAAGGAGCAAAUUAUGACAAUGGUUAAUAUAUAAGCUGUUUUUAUGUAAUUUUCCAGUCAAACACUCUUUUCACUCAGAAGAAGCUACUCGUCUUAUUUGAUAUGCCCCAUAAUCCAUAGCAAAUCACCAUUGACAUAGCCUAAGUGGGUCACCAUUGACUGUAUAACAUUUAAAAGAACAAUAUAAUUCAGCCUAAGAUAUCUACAGGGGAGGUGCAUCCUUAGGUUGACGGGGCUGUUUAUGUCUAUUUUAUUCUAAAUGGAGCUUUUUUUGUUAUUACUACCUUCAAAUUUGGCUUAUCCCCUUACUACUAGCAUAGCUUCUCACUGUAUUGUGUAGAACAUGAUAUGGAUACCUCUUUUGUGAUUGAUUGUAUUGUAUGACAGACUGACUCACAGUGUGUAUUUCUUUAUUCAGGUGACCGCAUUUGAAUUUUCAUAAUGGCUGUAAGUUACUUGCUACUAAUUUUGUAAUUUUUCCUUCCUUUGAGAAUUCUUUCUUUCUUGUUUUGAUAAGCCAUUGAGAAUUUUUUGUGUGGUAAAUGCUAUAGAUUGAGAGAAUUUUUAAAGAUGAAGCCAGUGAAGAAAAAGGAGAGCGUGCCAGAAUGGUGAGCUUGUUAUGAUUUCUGUUUUACCCUGGCUCGUUAUGAUUAAUAUACUUCUGAUCUGUAUUAGCAAAUAUUUUAAAUCAUUUUUCUUCUUAUUUGAGUCUGAGGAAGGUUUGUUAGCUUUAGCUAUAUGUGUUGUGUGAUUUGGUUUUCUGCAGGCAUCUUUUGUUGGAGCCAUGGCUAUUGCUGAUUUGGUGAAGACUACCUUAGAGCCAAAGGGAAUGGUAAAAUCUCCUCUUCACUCAUUAAAUGUGCUGAUAAACGAUUUAUCUUUCACUCCUACGUCCUAAAUAAUUGAUAUAUCUUGGAUGGGAAAACUGCAGGAUAAAAUUUUGCAGUCAACAGGUAGAGGACGUGAAGUUACAGUCACUAAUGACGGUGCUACAAUCUUAAAGUCCCUCCAUAUUGAUAACGCAGCUGCUAAAGUCCUUGUGGGUAUCCUUAUCAUUUGUAUUAAUGUGGUUAAAGCAGCUUAGAAAUUAUAGAAUGGUACAGGAUUUUGGUGAGCUAUUAUGAAAUGCCUGUGCUUGUUUUUUAGGGCCUUGAAACUAAAGUAAUAUUUAACUGUAAAAAUUUCAAUAUACAAUAAUUACAAAAUGGGAAGUUUUGUCACAUACUUAUAAAAAAUGGGAAGAUGGGUAUUUGGAACACAAAUUUUGUGUUAUGCGAGAACAAAGAAGACAAUGUUUCAAUUUUAGUUUUCUUAAUUAUGAAUUCUGACAGUUACUAGACUUUCUGCUGGCAGUCUAUUAUGAAAUUCAAAGUUUAUUUAUAAGAACGUUGACAUCCAGAACUUUCAGUGACUAGCCUUGGGUUAUAUUUGGGCUUAGGUUGGGGACGGAACAACCUCUGUUGUUGUAUUGGCUGGGGAACUUCUUAGGGAGGCAGAAAAGCUGGUUGCAGCUAAAGAUUUAUCCCAUGACCAUAGUAUCAGGUUCAUUUCUUUCCUUUUCCCCACAAUGGUCCAACUGCCCUUAUGAUGCAAAUUUUGUUGCGUUUUUGUGUAGACAGGUUUCUAGUGACAACUUUAGUGAUUCGUAUGCUGUGUGUUAGGAUGUUUACCUCAUUAGUAAUUACAUUGGUACAGGAAGCAACACAUUCCUUAUCAUGCAUCCAUUAGUAAAUUUUAUUUUGCAUAGAAGACCGCUCUUUGGUCUCUUAAAAUUUUUCAUUGUUCCUUUGAAUGUUAAUGUAGAGCAAAUGAUUGUAAAAACUUUUUAAUGUAAAAUGGUUAUCUAUUCCAUCUUUGUAUUUAAAUUAAGGACAGUUUAUUGAUGGAUGUGAUUGAAGGGUGGUAACCAAAGCAGUCAAUAAAAUUUCCAUUUUCAAUGCAUUGUUAUCGUUCCAAGGCUGCCCCAUCUUUACUUUACUUUGGUUUUGUUGUUAGUGUACUCUUCCUGCUUUCAGAAAGAUGAAUAAAAAAGGAUAAGAAAUCAAGGGAAGCAUUAGAAAGGUGAAAUAUGAAAGUUUUAUAGUGAUGCUUUGAGAACCAUUUACAAUUCUGAUGGGUUUUGUAAUUUGCAUGUAACCAUGUGUCAUGAAUUUACUAUCCCAAAAGUUUAAGCUACUAGGUGAAAGAACACAUGAAUGGUUUAUAUUAUAUUUUUUAACAUGCCUUCUUCUAGCAAGAGUCUUUUAGACUUGAAGUGUGGACAUUGCACUGACUGAUAGAAUCCAGAAAAUGAAUAGUGUUUUAUUCAAAAGAACCCUAAUUCCCAAAGAGAAAGAUACAGAAUUUCCUUGAGAGAGAGACCAAACACUCUCCCUAAACCCGUACUCCAAUUGAUUCCUAAAAGAUACCUCAUACUCUCAUUAACCAUCUUAAUUAUAGACUCACUCUCUAACUAACUCCCAUCCCCAGCUAACUAACUAUUUACCCCUAAUAGCCACUAACCGUGAGUGCCUAUCAAUGACCCAUCCACCUAAGUUACUAAUUAUCCUAAAAAGUUAAAUUGUUGGAUGAAAACACAUGACUGAGCAUGAAUUGUGCUCGUAAUGCCAUAUGGCAUAGGGGCUAAGAUACCACUUGAUGAGCUAAUUAUCCUAAACGGUUUAAUUGUUGGGUGAAAACACAUGAAUUGUUUGUAUUAUAUUCUCAGCAUGAAUAUUGCCCUCCCCUUAUUUUCUUAGCUGGUUUCAAAUGAUUUAGUUUCCAACAUUUUCUUUUGAUUAAUAUGAGUGUAUUUGAUAUUAGCGGUUAUGAUUUUUAGAUUUCCGAAUGGCAGCUGAGUGUGCUCUUAAUGCAUUGUUACAAAAGGUUAAGGACAACAAAGCAGAUUCUGGUAAUUGUUUUAUCUUUUGGAUAGUGUGUUUUUGGGUUUUUAUCAUUCGCUUUUGGCCUUUGAAUUCAUUGUUAUUAUCAUCAAUUCAUCAUCAUCAUUUUUGUUUACAGCAGCGCAGUGUUGAAUGCUUAAUGUAGAAGGCUUAAUGUCUGAUGGAGUGGUGGAUUGCUUUUGGAGUCUCCAGUGACAUCUAUGGUGGGAUGAGAUGAGGAGAUGAUAGAGUGGAAGCAGAAAUAUGAGGGGGUGCUAUGAUGGAAUGGGAAGUGAGAGGAGGUGAUGAAAUGGUUUUGGUCCCUCAUUUUACUAUCAGAUUUGGUUUUGGUUUACAAUUUUUAUGGUUUUGGUUUACAAUUUUUAUGGUUUUGGACUUUCAAUUCUCUCUCAAUACCUGAGAACGACAUCCACAUUGCCACGUUUCUAUAACAAUUCUAUGUGGUCUGUUUUGGUGUCAAGUCGCAUUUGAUAAUUAAGUUUUUUAAUAAAUAAAAAACCAAAAACAAUAUUUUACAUAUUAAAUCUGGCUUGACAUCAAAAAUAGGUCACGUAGGAUUACUGAUGACGUGACCCUCUAUUUGCUCCAUUACCACAAAGACCAUGUGUUAGCAAUUUAGUAUCACCGGUAAUAGUGAGAUAUUAAAUGGAAUAAUUUUUGGUUCAUACUCCAUUUUCACUCACACUAGGAUGAGAAAACUCACUUCUGGUCGUAUCGGAUGACCAUCAUGAUAUCUAGAUAACUUUGGAUCAUUUAGCAUGUUAAUUAGAAGUGAGCAAAUGAUGGUACACGAGAUGUUCCAAGUUGUAAAUUAUGGUAGCCCAGAUCAGAGAUGCUUUCUCUGAAACAGAUUGAAUUUCAACCUUGGAAUAACCCCACAUACAAGGUUGAUGACAAGAUAGAGUUGCUCUGUCAGGAUAGUGGCA
rnacentral:lncRNA from 1 species